rnacentral:rRNA from 1 species
UACGUAGGGGGCGAGCGUUGUCCGGAUUCAUUGGGCGUAAAGAGCUCGUAGGCGGCUUGUCACGUCGGGUGUGAAAGCCCGGGGCUUAACCCCGGGUCUGCAUUCGAUACGGGCUAGCUAGAGUGUGGUAGGGGAGAUCGGAAUUCCUGGUGUAGCGGUGAAAUGCGCAGAUAUCAGGAGGAACACCGGUGGCGAAGGCGGAUCUCUGGGCCAUUACUGACGCUGAGGAGCGAAAGCGUGGGGAGCGAACAGG